GCCAGCACCUCUCCUAAACAGGUGUUCUACUCCGCUAGCCAGCACCUCUCCUAAACAGGUGUUCUACUCCUCUAGCCAGCACCUCUCCUAAACAGGUGUUCUACUCCGUUAGCCAGCACCUCGCCUAAACAGGUGUUCUACUCCGCUAGCCAGCACCUCGCCUAAACAGGUGUUCUACUCCUCUAGCCAGCACCUCUCCUAAACAGGUGUUCUACUCCGCUAGCCAGCACCUCGCCUAAACAGGUGUUCUACUCCGCUAGCCAGCACCUCUCCUAAACAGGUGUUCUACUCCUCUAGCCAGCACAUCUCCUAAACAAGUGUUCUACU
rnacentral:lncRNA from 1 species